rnacentral:rRNA from 1 species
UGGGGAAUAUUGGACAAUGGGCGCAAGCCUGAUCCAGCCAUGCCGCGUGAGUGAUGAAGGCCCUAGGGUUGUAAAGCUCUUUCACCGGUGAUGAUAAUGACGGUAACCGGAGAAGAAGCCCCGGCUAACUUCGUGCCAGCAGCCGCGGUAAUACGAAGGGGGCUAGCGUUGUUCGGAUUUACUGGGCGUAAAGCGAACGUAGGCGGACUAUUAAGUCAGGGGUGAAAUCCCGGGGCUCAACCCCGGAACUGCCUUUGAUACUGGUAGUCUUGAGUUCGAGAGAGGUGAGUGGAAUUCCGGGUGUAGAGGUGAAAUUCGUAGAUAUUCGGAGGAACACCAGUGGCGAAGGCGGCUCACUGGCUCGAUACUGAUGCUGAGGUGCGAAAGCGUGGGGAGCAAACAGG